rnacentral:rRNA from 1 species
UAGGGAAUAUUAGAAAUGGACGAAAGUCUGAUCUAGCAACACCGCGUGUGCGAAGCAGGCCUUCGGGUUGUAAAGCACUUUUUAGAAGGAUUAGGAAGGAAUGUACUUCCAGAAUAAGUCUCGGCUAACUACGUGCCAGCAGCCGCGGUAACACGUAGGAGGCAAACGUUAUCCGGAUUUACUGGGCGUAAAGCGCGUGUAGGUGGUUCUGUAAGUAGGGCGUGAAAGCUCCUGGCUCAACUGGGAGAGGCCGUUCUAAACUGCAGAGCUAGAGGAUGGUAGAGGGGGGUGGAAUUGCGGGUGUAGCGGUGGAAUGCGCAGAUAUCCGGAGGAACACCAGUGGCGAAAGCGGCCUCCUGGACCAUGCCUGACACUCAGACGCGAGGGCUAGGGUAGCAAACG